ACAGGGACGCCUCACAGAACCGUGAGGACGACAGGCUGUGGUGGAAGCGCCGGCCUCGCCGCCCGGGGCUCACGCCGUAGGUGACGGCGGGAGACGACACAGCGCCCCCGCGUGGAGACACCCGAGCUGGGCGCGUGCGCAUCACGAGGAAGCCAGGGCGGCGCUCACGCCCGACGGGAGGAGAAGCGGGCGGCUGACCUCUGACCCCCGAGGAGGGUGACGUGACGUGGCGUCGGGACGCCCGAUACGCCGCGUCAACCUCGGACGCGAGGGGAGCUGCCCGCGUUGCGGCUGGUGGUAGCUGCAUCGGCGGUGCCCCCUGACGGAUGCCGCUGACCUGAGCCGCGUGACUCAAGGUGCACUGGAAGCUGUGCCAGCUUACCGUCUUGUGCCAGAGAAAAAGUGAAAAAUAUGAUGAUUUUAGCAGCUUUCGCAGACGUGUCACGGAGUUCCAGGACUCCCCGUAUGCUCCAGACUUGGAUAUACGCUCUAGCACAGUGAGACUGCGGUCAGCACAUCAAAUGUUACCCAUCAGGCUUAAUGUACAAGACCCAAUGCCAAUGAUCAACUUUACCCCAUUCCUCCCAGGAAACCUCUGAUUUCCCUCAAACUUAAUAAGAGAAAAGAGACGUCCCGGAGAGUCUUUCAGCACUUGGUAGACAAAAAUAACAAGGCACAAGUUAUGUAACCUUCAGCAAGCUCUUAGGCUGAGUUUACAGCAUUUGGUAAUCUCUAAUUUGCAUGUGCUUUCUUUGGAUUUUUAAGUCUGUCCGGUUUUGUCUGGUUUUGGAGCAUCAUCUUUGGAAGGACGGCAAACAAUUCUUUUGAAAUUUUGACAAGUGUCACCGACCCACUCGGAUGGGUUGGAGCCGCACUUUUACACCUACCUUCGUUUUUCAAACAAAAUGCCGGAGUGAAACCUGUAGGGAUUUAUGAGGCGUGAACUAAAGAUUUUCUUUGUCUGUUUCCUUUGACCCAGCGUUUGAGAGCACUAAGUGAUGUGGUUAGCUGUGAGUGUGGCUUGGCAUCCAGAAAAAUGUUUUAUACUCUAAAGUGGGCAAAGUCUCUGACUGUGGUAUGAUAGAACCCUCAGUGAAAUGUAUUUUGGCAACAUUGUUAUUUUUGCAGUGUUUAGUAUUGUCUAUUGUAGCCUGCUUUUUGGUGGAUCUUUGAUAUUUAUGUCUCUGUGUCCUGUGAUGGCUUAAACAUGUAUAUCUUUCUUCCUUUGAGAUGGCCAAGCAGUUGUGCACUGAAGAGGUACUUCCUGGUGAUUCAUUCAUUAAUAAAAUACAAAAUUCUUUUGUAAACUCUUCUUGG
rnacentral:lncRNA from 1 species